GGCUGAAGCAGUUAUGCGAGAUGGAGGCAUAGGUCUCCUGCUUAAUCUUGCAAGAUCUUGGCGGGAAGGGCUUCAGACAGAAGCUGCAAAGGCUAUUGCAAAUUUAUCUGUGAAUGCCAAUGUUGCAAAAGCUGUAGCAGAAGAAGGUGGGAUAAGCGUCCUAGCAAUUUUGGCGAAGUCUAUGAAUAGGUUGGCUGCAGAAGAGGCUGCUGGAGGACUAUGGAAUCUCUCAGUUGGGGAAGAGCAUAAGGCUGCCAUUGCUGAAGCUGGUGGUGUAAAAGCUUUGGUUGAUCUUAUCUUCAAAUGGUCCAUUAG
rnacentral:misc_RNA from 1 species